rnacentral:lncRNA from 1 species
CCCAUAUUCAUGACAAGAGGCGUGGAACACAGACCCAUGGGACCUUCCCACUGGAACACGGAGCUUGGCUGUCACCCGACCUUCGCUUCCUUAAGUACAAAAGCCCAGGGUUCCAGGCUCCGUCUCCUUUCCCGCAGACGCCUUGUUUCUUCGCGCGGAGGCCCUGGACGCCGCAGGCUCCCAACCUACUUCUCUGGGCUGUCAGGUUCUGAACCCGGUCCUGAAGAGGCCCUGGCGCCGGGGGUGGGUGAGGCCGAGCGCGCGCCUUGGGAACCUGGCCGGCCUCAGGCUGGCGGGAGCAUUGGCGGACAUCGCCCCGGGCGGGGCGGACUGGGGGGACCCUGACCUGACCCUGCUCCCAGCUCUGACCUCGGCCACCACGCGCGGCGCCCCCGCUGGUCCCGCCAGGCUCCGCCUAAACGCAGAAAGCGUGGGAGGCGCCCGACCCUGCGGUAUAAAAGCGGUGCCUGCAGAGGCCCUAGCGGGAGUCCGCGGCGAGCGCAGCAGCAGGGCCGGGUCCUGCGCCUCGGGGGUCGGCGUCCAGGCUCGGAGCGCGGCACGGAGACGGCGGCAGCGCUGGACUAGGUGGCAGGAUGACGUCUGUCCUGCUUCUUCACUGUCCUUUACAGUCACCAGUCUCGGCCGGGCGCAGUGGCUCACGCCUGUAAUCCCAGCACUUUGGGAGGCCAAGGCGGUCGGAUCCUUGGAGAUCAGGAGUUCGAGACCAGUCUGGCAAACGUGGUGAAAACCGGUCUCUACUAAAAAUACAGAAAUUAGCCGGGCAUGGUGGCCCACGCCUGUAAUAAUGUCAGCUAUGUGCUGAGGCAGGAAAAUCACUUCAACUCGGGAGGCAGAGAGUGCAGUGGCGCGAUCUCUGCUCACUGCA